AUACUUACCUGGCAGGGGAGAUAAUGAUCCGGCAUGUGGUUUUCCCAAGGCGAGAGUUAUCCAUUGCGCUGCGGGUGUGCUGAUCCCUGCAAUCUCCCCACAUGUGGGAAACUCGACUGCAUAAUUUGUGGUAGUGGGGGACUGCGUUCACGCUCUCCCCUG
rfam:Sus scrofa chromosome 7.